UACGGGGGGGAGCAAGCGUUGUUCGGACUUACUGGGCGUAAAAGGGCGCGUAGGCGGUCUUGUAAGUCUUGUGUGAAAUCCCUCGGCUUAACUGAGGAACUGCACGGGAUACUGCGAGACUUGAGAUCGGGAGAGGGAAGCGGAAUUCCGGGUGUAGCGGUGAAAUGCGUAGAAUAUCGGAAGGAACACCAGUGGCGAAAGCGGCUUCCUGGUCCAGCACCGACGUUCAGGCACGGAAAGCGAUGGG
rnacentral:rRNA from 1 species